rnacentral:rRNA from 1 species
CGGGGUGCAGCAGGCGCGAAAAUUUUACAAUGCAGGCAACUGCGAUAGGGGGACAUCGAGUGGCAUCCACCUUGGGUGCCUGUCCCACCGUCUAAAAAACGGUGGUUAGCAAGGGCCGGGCAAGACCGGUGCCAGCCGCCGCGGUAACACCGGCGGCUCGAGUGGUGGCCGAUAAUAUUGAGUCUAAAGGGUCCGUAGCCGGCUUUGCAAGUCCCCUGGGAAAUCCAGCGGCUUAACCGUUGGGCUUUCAUGGGAUACUACAUUUCUUGGGACUGGGAGAGGUUGGAGGUACUUGCGGGGUAGGGGUGAAAUCCUGUAAUCCCCCGGGGACCACCGGUGGCGAAGGCGUCCUAUCCAGAACAGGUCCGACGGUGAGGGACGAAAGCUAGGGGCACGAACCGGAUUAGAUACCCGGGUAGUUCCUAACCGUAAACGAUGCCCGAUAGGUGUCACGGCGGUCGUGAAUCACCGUGGUGCCGUAGGGAAGCCGCGAAGCGGGCCACCUGGGAGAGUACGGCCGCAAGGCUGAAACUUAAAGGAAUUGGCGGGGGAGCACA